rnacentral:rRNA from 1 species
GACGAACGCUGGCGGCGUGCUUAACACAUGCAAGUCGAACGGAAAGGCCCUGCUUUUGUGGGGUUCUCGAGUGGCGAACGGGUGAGUAACACGUGAGUAACCUGCCCUUUACUUUGGGAUAACUUCAGGAAACUGGGGCUAAUACCGGAUAGGAGCUCCUGCUGCAUGGUGGGGGUUGGAAAGUUUCGGCGGUUGGGGAUGGACUCGCGGCUUAUCAGCUUGUUGGUGGGGUAGUGGAUUACCAAGGCUUUGACGGGUAGCCGGCCUGAGAGGGUGACCGGCCACAUUGGGACUGAGAUACGGCCCAGACUCCUACGGGAGGCAGCAGUGGGGAAUAUUGCACAAUGGGCGGAAGCCUGAUGCAGCAACGCCGCGUGCGGGAUGACGGCCUUCGGGUUGUAAACCGCUUUCGCCUGUGACGAAGCGUGAGUGACGGUAAUGGGUAAAGAAGCACCGGCUAACUACGUG